AUGGCCUUCAGAUCAGCUGCCUGCUUCACACCAACUUUCAGCUUAAAAGGAACAACACAUGAGGUCAUUGUGCAGAAGAUAGUGACAGGUGAAAAGCAAGCAAGUGCAACAAGAAGGGUGUCAUCCCACCAUGUCAGUAUGCCAGCUGGGUGCAGAGGUGCACCAGGUAUGGAUGCCUGGGUCCUGCUGGGCACCAAAGGAUUCUGCCAGAGCACAGCCUUGCAGCAGCCUCACCUCCUGUGCACGGAAGUUGUACUCCAGAGAGUACUGAAGUCUUCCUCGUCCUGUCUCCUCUGGGCCCUGCUCCAGGUCCUCCAUCUCAGGCUGCACCUAUGGCAAAGAGCAACACAACCCUCAGGACAAGGUUCCAGAGCCUUGUGUUUCCCCAUACUAAGUUGCAUGGAUGGGACCCCCAGGUCUGCUGAAAGCCCAUGGCGACAAAGUUCACAUNNNNNNNNNNNNNNNNNNNNNNNNNNNNNNNUUCCUGCUCUCCAUCCUGGCAUGAUGCAUCAUAUGGAUCAAUUUGCUCUAAAAACACAUUUAAUCCCCAAUCCAAGCCCAAUUGUACACCCACAGGCAUUCCCACCACUCUGGGCAUGUGCUGAGGAGAUGGGCAUCACAGAGCAAACCUCCCUGCUAGGAGAGCACCAGGGGACAGGAGAAAGCAGGACGCACAAGGCUGGCUGUGGUGGAGCCACUGAAGGUGAGCAAUCCAACUUUCUCCUUCUUCUUGGGCUUCUUUUUGCCACAGCAGCACCUGAUGAUGCAGAUGAGGAAGAGGAGGAGGAGAACAGCCACUGCCGCUGCCACAGCAAUGAGCGCCCAUCUGGGUACUGGUGCAAUGAAUUAAACAGAAGAGUUAAAGCCAAACAAAACCACACAAAGUGCAUUUACAACGCCCUCCUCGUGUUUCGGCAUUACAAAGAUAUGUCUUGGGGCUUGAGCUUAAAAUCCUGGAGAAGAUCACUAGAAUCACCAAAUCCAACUGCAGCCCAACCUUGUCAUUCUCACUGA
rnacentral:lncRNA from 1 species